rnacentral:rRNA from 1 species
UACGUAGGGGGCAAGCGUUAUCCGGAUUUACUGGGUGUAAAGGGGGCGCAGACGGCGAUGCAAGCCAGGAGUGAAAGCCCGGGGCCCAACCCCGGGACUGCUCUUGGAACUGCGUGGCUGGAGUGCAGGAGGGGCAGGCGGAAUUCCUGGUGUAGCGGUGAAAUGCGUAGAUAUCAGGAGGAACACCGAUGGCGAAGGCGGCCUGCUGGACUGCAACUGACGUUGAGGCCCGAAAGCGUGGGGAGCAAACAGG